AAUCUUGCGCAGUGGCAAUAUCGUAACCAAUGAAGGUCUCCUGAGGUGCGAUUAUUGCUAGUUGAAAUUCUAGUAAUUAUUCUUAGUUUUAUUUCAAUUUAUUUUUGGUCGAUUCUGCAUUGUGAUUUCAACUUUGGCGGAUGGCCAUGUAAAUUAAUGCAAUUUUAAAUUAAA
rnacentral:snRNA from 13 species